ACCAGACUCCUACGGGAGGCAGCAGUAAGGGAUAUUGGUCAAUGGGGGAAGCCCUGAACCAGCAACGCCGCGUGAGGGAAGACGGUUUUCGGAUUGUAAACCUCUGUCCUCUGUGAAGAUGAUGACGGUAGCAGAGGAGGAAGCUCCGGCUAACUACGUGCCAGCAGCCGCGGUAAUACGUAGGGGGCAAGCGUUAUCCGGAAUUACUGGGUGUAAAGGGAGCGUAGACGGUGAUGCAAGUCUGGAGUGAAAGGCGGGGGCCCAACCCCCGGACUGCUCUGGAAACUGUAUGACUUGAGUGCAGGAGAGGUAAGCGGAAUUCCUAGUGUAGCGGUGAAAUGCGUAGAUAUUAGGAGGAACACCAGUGGCGAAGGCGGCUUACUGGACUGUAACUGACGUUGAGGCUCGAAAGCGUGGGGAGCAAACAGGAUUAGAUACCCCGGUAC
rnacentral:rRNA from 1 species